CACCAGGUUGAUUCUGCCUGACGU
rnacentral:rRNA from 1 species